rnacentral:lncRNA from 10 species
CAGUUCUGGGCACAUACCAACAUGCACGGAUGCAUGUUAACCUGCUUUGUAUGGAAGAAACGGGGUCAGGAUAUCAUAAAAAGAAUUAAUGGAUCUCAUCCCAUCAGUUGAAGACCUUAAGAGAAAAGAGACUGACCUGCUCUGAGCAAGGAGGAAUUCUGCUGGCCAACUGCUUGUGAACUCCAACUUGUAAUAUCGGUCUCCAGCCUACCGGCUUACUCUGCAGAUUUUGGAUUUGCCAAGCCUCCACAACCGCAGAAGCCAAUUCCUUAAAAUGAAUCCCUUACAACAGUUCCC